GGGGGGGGCAGGGCCGGGCCGCGCUGCUCCUGGCUGCCCGGGCCCGCCGACUUCGUCAAGUCGAGAUGCUCGUCGUCUCCCUCCCUCAGAACUUCCCUCGUUCCUCAAACACAGGGAAGGAAGAACUUGGAGAAUGUUCCUGAGAGUUUGUGACAACGUUCAUGAAGACAAAGAAAAGACAGGAAAAAAUGUUUGAGAAAAACUACUUCCUGCAGAAUCUUACUCCCCUAUCUACUCAUAUAGAUCCAGGUGAUGUAAAGAUCAUGGAUGUAACAAGUAAGUAUCAUAAGAUAAUUUGGGUCAAAAGGAACCUUGAAGAUCAACUACAAUUUCAACCCCUUUGCUGUGAGUAGGGACAGAUUGAUGAAGUUUCUCAAGGCUCAACCCAACCUGGCCUUGAACCCUUCAAGGGACUGGCAUCAACAGCUUAUCUGAGCAACCUAUUCCAGUGCUUCACCAUUCUCAUGACGAACAUUUUCAUUUCCCUUACACUGCUAGCUACACUUCUUUGGAUGAAGGUUUGUUGGGCUACAAAUGCACAUUGCUGGCUUAUAUUGAGUUUUUCAUCAACUAACAUCCCCAAGUUCUUUUCCUCAGGGUUGCUCUGAAUGCUUUUUCCACCCAGCCUGUAUAUUUGUGCUUAUAAUUGCUCAACCCAGGUGUGGGAGCUUGCACUUCACCUUGUAGAACUUCAUGAAGUUCUUUCAGGUCCACUUGACUUCCAGGUCCCUCAGGGGAGCAUCCCUUCUCGCCAACGUGAUCACUGCAAUGCUUAGCUUGUUAUUGUCCAUUAUAUUAGAAAAGAGAUAGUGGGGUUGUAUUUAGGGUGUGAGGUGAUCCCUUAAUUAAAGAUAUUCAAUUACUUAAGUGGUAAGAAAGCCAUAUUCCAUACUAAUUCACUAUUUGUUCUACCUCUAAAUUUAUCAUCUAGCAGUAAUAUUUACUGUUAUCAUUGAAAGAGAAUUAUAAAUGAGGAAUGCUUAAGAAUUGCAACAUGGAUCUGGAUCUUCUGCAGAAUAAUACACCUUUACAGUUUUGUUUUUUCUGCCUCCCUGAGUUAAUUAAUAGUCAUUUAUUUUCCGCAUUAUCCCUCUCAUGAUGUAACCAUAUAGUACAGUAUGUGGUUAAAAUCCACUUAAUGUUUUUAAUGACAUUAUUCUUAUCUAGUAAAAUCUUAAUUGUGUAAUACUUAGUGUUUCAGCUGAAGUAGUCAGUAAUUGUCUGAAGCAGUACUACCAUUGACUAGCCUUAAGAAAGGCAUUCCAUGGCAGCUUAUAUUUCCUUUUCUGUUGACAUAGGUCUGCUUUAAGUAUUUGAAAGGCACAGGGAGAGACACUAACACAGUUUAUUUAAUAAUUAAUUUAUCUGAACAGCAUCAGGAAAUGUCAGAUAUUUUUCUCUGUGUGUCAAAGCUUCCAGAAUUUCAGUUCUUAGAAGUUGUUAAGUUCAAUACUAGAAAUUUGAGUGAUCUAGAAGUUUUGUAAGGGAGAACAUAAUCUAGAUGACUCUACUUGAACUCUAUAUAAUCAUGUUUGAGUGGAGAUUAGUCCUUUCUAACUUGAAGUGCUAUGUGAUUCUGUGACAACUAACUGUUUCCUAAAGAUAGUUCAGAAAUAGUAGGUCUGAAUAGGAAUUCAGAUGUAUGUAUGUAAUCACUACAGACUGCUGAAGGUUUAGAGAAACAUGCUAGGAGAAAAAAGUUUUUCAGAUUUUGAACCUCUUUUAUUUCUGCAUCUUCAUGUUCAUUCUAUGGUCACUUUUUGCAGAUAUGUGAAGAAACAAAUAUAGCUGCAGACUUGAACACCGAGAUAGAAAAUAUUGUCUGCAUGACUUUUCUCUGGUGAUGUCUUGUUCUUCACCUGUGGUAGCAGAAACUGAAUGCAGUAGAGGACAACUGACAGCUGCCCUGAUAAAAGAAUAAAUUCUUCCAUUAAUUAUUUAUUUUACUGUAGAAACUAAUGCAAGAGAAAUGUGGGUUAUUUUUAUUCAUCUCUUCUUGUGCAAGGAAUUAUAUUUUGUGCAAUUCUUUUAUUUUCAGAAGCACAAUUAACAUGAUAUCAUCACAAAAUUAUAAGUCUUGAUAGGGUUGGUUUUUUUUUGGUCCUUAAUUAUAGAGGAGGGAAACAACCUGGUUACUUGUAAUUGCAGACCCAUAACUUUAUGAUGGAAAAUAUCCAUGUGGAUUUUUGCAUAGAAUGUAAUUGAGGAAAGGAGAGUGAAAAUAUUCAGAUUGUUUCUAGGUAAUCAAAUAAGGAGGAUAUAGAUAACAAGCCAGGAAAUUGGAAAUUGGAAGACUACACUAUAAGGUGAGCUGAGGGCUGGAUCAUCUCUCCUAUGAAGAAAGGCUGAGGGAAAUGCACUUGUUCAGCCUGGAGAAGGCUCCAGGGAGACCUCACUGACAUCUUUCAGUAUUUAGAGGGACCUUAUAAAUAUGACAGAGACCAACUUUUUCACACAAUAUGGCAGUGAUAGGACAAGGGAAAAUGGCUUAGAAAUAAAAGAGGGGAGAUUUAGAUUAGAUAUUUGGAAAAUUCUUAGAGUGUGUUGAGGCACUGGAACAGAUUACCCCAAGAAGUUGUGAAUACACCUUUCCUGGCAAGGUUGUUUAAGGCAAGGUUGAAUGGAGUCUUGGGCAAACAGAUCUAGUGGGUGGCAAAGAUGCCUACAUCAAGGUCCCUUCCAAUUUAAGUCAUUUUAUGAUCCUGUGAUUAAGAGGUAUUGAUGGGCCACAGGUCUGGUUACAGGUCUUUAGAGAAGGGAAGAGUAAAAGAUCUCAGAUGUGUAAGCAUGCUAUCCUUCACUGCUUUGAACAGAAGCCACGGUGCUGACCAUUCUAGAGGAAAACAAUUUUCGGUUGUUAUCAUGUACUCUAUUUACUCAAGAAGUAAGGGUCUGUGUGAUGGACCUGGUCAGAGACUCCAGUCAGCCUAUAAGAAGUGUGUUGACCACUAAACAUGAUGACAACACAUGGUGAUGUUAAAUCCCAAAUUGGUGUACAGGACAAGAAAGAAUUCUCUUCCCUGAUUUAAGAGAAGUGAUACUAUCAAGCAAGGACCAGAAUAAUCAAUUUCAGAUUGCCCAGUUUUCUAUGAAAGAACAGUAGAUAGGCAUAAUUAAUAUAUAUAUAUAUAUAUAUUAAAAAAAAAAAAAAAAAAAAAAAAAAGUUGAUGUAGAAAUUCAGGGUCAGAAUUGACUUCUCCAGACAAUCUAUAGACUAAGGGUAGGGAAUAUAUUCUACUUUUGUGUAGUUAGGUUUGCUAUAUGUACAUGGUGUUACCUUCAUUUCUUCUAUAAUUUUGGCAACAAGAAGUGUAAUUCUUACAUGUGUUAACUUUAUUCUAACAAUAUAACAAUGAACUCUCAACUAACUGGUCUAAACACGUGAUAGAAACAAGGUUCUGCUCCUUGAGAACAGCUCUGGUUGCACAUGGAAGUAAUAAGAUGGGCAUUAUUAUCAUGGAGUAAAAGACAGGCUACAUUUAAAGAGUUAACUGAAUAAAAACAGCAGAUAAAACAAGGCAUCAAUAGCAUUUAUGGUCAUAUGAAAAUUAUAAAUAAGCAAGUGGAUAUGAAUUGAUAAUGCAAAUCAUAGAAUCAUAGAAUUGCUCAGGUUGGAAAAGACCUUAAAGAUCAUCGACUCCAACCAUGACCUAACCAUAGUACCCUAACUAACAACUCUCUGCUAAAACAUGUCCCUGAGCACCACAUUCAAACAGUUUUUAAACACAUUCAGGGAUGGUCACUCAACCACCUCUGUGGGGAGCCUAUUCCAGUGCUUAACAACCCUUUCUGUAAAGAAGUUUUUUUCCUGAUAUCCAAAAUAAAAUUACCCUGGUGCAACUUGAGGCCAUUUCCUCUUGUCCUAUCACCUGUCAACAGUGAGAAGAGACCAGCCCCACUCUCGCUGUAAGCACCUUUCAGAUAUUGGAAGAGAGCAAUAAGGUCUCCCCUCAGCUCCUUUUCCUCACUCUAAACAGCCCCAGUUUCUUCAGUCUCUCCUCAUAGGACAUAUUAUCCAAGCUCUUCACAAGCCUUGUUGCCCUUCCUUGGACCUGCUCCAGCACCUCCAUGUCCUUUCCGUACUGAGGUUCCCAAAACUGAACGCAGUACUCAAGGUGAAGCCUCAUCAAUGACAAGUACAGGGGCAGGAUUACUUCCCUAGUCCUGCUCACCACACCAUUCCUGAUCCAAGCCAGGAUGCCAUUGGCCAUCUUGGCCACCGGGGCACACUGCUGGCUCAUAUUCAGCCAACUGUCCAUCAAUAAUGCAUGAAAAGAAAGAGAAAAAAAAACACAAAGCAAAUCAUUAAUGGGAAAGAAAGGUAACUUUUUUCAUGUUGGGAAAUCAGUUCAUUCCAUGUUGAGAAAAUCUAUAUCCACCCACUUGUCAGAGUUUGCAUUAUUUAAGAGACAAAAGAAACAUUUUCCCAGUUAUUCUUUGAAAUUCACAGUAAUAUUCUAAAGGCAAGUUUAUAUCACAAUGCUCAAUCUUACUUAAUUUGCAGUCAUCAUUACUUGUCUCGCAUAUUUGGAGAUUUUAUUUGCAUCUUUGUUAUUGUAUUAUAUGUAUUAUUUGCAUCUUUGUUAAAUAAAAAACUGUAUAGUAUAGUAGUUUUUUGAUUUACCAGACUAAAUUCCAAUUAUGAAUGAUCGUAAAAUAAAACGAUACAAAGUUCUUUCAUUAGCAGAAGGUUUCUUGGAUAAGAAUCAGUCUUUCCUUUCUGGUCUUUAAAUUCAUCCCAAAACUCUGCCUGCAAUCAAAGUUUAUGUUUUUCUAUAAAUCCAGACAUAGUCAAGAGAAGCACUGAGUAUUUAAGAUCUUAAAAUUAUCAUGUCCCAUAACUUGUCCUCCAAGAUUUGAAAUCUCUAUGUGUUUAGAAAACUUCAUUUCCUGUGAUUUUUGGACAUUAAAGCAAACAAAAAAAUGUACCUGAUACUUUUCUCAGGCUUUCUUUAUACAGUGCGGUCACCAAGUCUGACAAAAUCAUUGUUGUAAAAGAAAGUCAAAACUCUGACUUUUCUUUUAAGGUUUUAAUCCUCUCCAAACCUUAUGACCUUAUCAUAAAAAAAUCCUUUUUAUUUUUAUAUCACUUUUAACUUCUUAUUUUGAGAACUAUUCUUAUUUUCCAUAAGUAACAAAAUCUGUCUACAAAGGCCUGCCAUUUUAAAACUGAAAUGAAAGUUAAAACAAUUUCCAUUUUGGUAAGAAAUAACUAGGAAUUUCUUUAUUACAUUAUAAACUUCUGGUCGUAUAUAUUAAUAUAUUUAUUGAAAUAGAUCUUCCUUGUAUUUAUAUAUAAUAAUAAAAAGUUCAUUUUCAAGAAUAGGAAAAAGCUUUUGGACUCAAGUCCUAGUUUAAAAGCUAAGAAAAACUUUUUAAGAGUGAUAUUAUAUCUUCUUUUUCAUAAUUGUUUCUUCAAACUACAGCCUAAAGUGACAGAAUACAAGAUUUUUUUAAAAAUAUGUAGUAUUAAAAUAAUCUUAAAUAAAUUACAAUAUGAUCACUUAAAAUAAUUUAUUAAUGAAGAUUACCACACGUUUCCUGUAAAUAAAAGGAUUUGCUGUUUUGUAGGAUGGUGAGAAGUUAAUGAAGUUUAAUGAAAAGUUCCCUUUUCAGUAUAGCAAAAACACAUUAACUCAUAAAUAACAAAAUUAAUUAAACAAAAGCAAAUCAACAAACAAAACCAUCAAACCUUUAGAAAAGAAAGAAGAACCUAUGAAGAAAACACUCAUAAGUACAUUCUGUGACUUUUAACUUCUGGUCGUUAUUUUUCUGACUGAAAAAAAAAAAGAGCUUGACAUGCUAUUAACAGAAAUUGUGCCAAUAUAUCUGAAUUGACAUUAUGUUUCAGAUACUGCACUAGUUCCACCUGUACCAAUAAAAUUUCAAAACUUAGAGAUCUUGUCAAAUUUAUCAUCUGUGUUCUGUGGACAGACGGCAUAUGCCUAAGGCAUUAGGGGUAAAAGAUAAGCCUAGAAGUAGAUAAAAUAGUGAAGUAGAGUAAGAUUCUAAAUACAGAGUAAAAUUGGACUUCCUAAAUCAGAACACAAUCCAGUUUGUCAGAUCUGUUCAAGCAUUAUUUUACUCUGUUCAUUUUUCAUAAGUGGAACAGUUUUCUUCCUAGUGGGAAGAAAUGUCUUCCUUAACAUGAAGUUUUGACCAGCUCAGGCUAAUAAAAAGAAUCUUUUCUUAUUUCUCCACAUUGUCAUUUGACAGUGCAAUGUCUUUGUGCAAGGACAGAUCAUCUAUGACAUUGUAUUUCUUUGCCACCUACUUACUGCUAGACUGUUAAAUACUAGAGAAACAGUGGAAAACUGCAUUUUAUGAAAAUCUCUACCACUUCCAUUUAAAUGUGUGUAUUUAUGUGUGCGUUUUUUUUUUUCUUACAAUUAAGAACUGUCAUUAAAAAUAAACAAAACUGUGUUACGUAUUUUGAUGUUUACAAGAAUCAGCGAGUCCAUGUGUGGUAGAACCAAAGAUGUGUCAAAGUAACCUAUCUCUCUCUUGUUGCAUUUACUGGGUUCAAAUUAUUCUUGAGAUAAAGUCACUGUAGUCUGAAUUUCAGUCUUACAUUUAUUGACUAACCUGAAAUCUUAUAUUAAGUUUAUAAUCUAUGUCAGGUAAACCAGUCUCUGUGAAAAAGAACAUUUGAAGAAUCUUGUGGGGAUAAGAGACAUUCCAGACAUGAUUUUUUUAUUUCACUCUAUAAAGGUACAUAUCAGCAAAAUGUAGCAAUUUUUUUAAAAUUUGGAGGGAUUCAGAACUAAUUUUAAAAAGUACUUUUUUUACAGAUUGUAACAGAACGAUGAAAUAAAUUGCAUGAAAAUGUAUAGGUGUUGCAGAUAUAAAUCACUUGGAAAAUAAUGUACUUAACAGUGACCUCUUUAAUUGCACACAGACAGAUUUAAACCACAUUAAAAUAAUUUAUUUAGUAACUAGUUGUCACAGAGUUACAUCAUCAUAAAACCAUGACACUAGUCUUGGCAACUAAUUUCCAAAAACUAC
ensembl:lncRNA